rnacentral:tRNA from 1 species
ACUUCCUUGGCUCAGUUGGUAGAGCGUUGGUCUCAUAAUCCAAAGGUUCCCAGUUUGAACCUGUCAGGGAGCA